GUCAGUGUGGCCGAGUGGUCUAAGGCGUGUGACUUGAAUUUAACCGAAACGUCCAACACUCCUCCAGGGGAUAAGCACCCGUGGAGGGCGAACGUUUUCACAAAAUUUCAAUGGCUAUCACAUCUCUUCGGAGGCACAGGUUCGAACCCUGUCGCUGACG
rfam:Fonsecaea pedrosoi CBS 271.37 unplaced genomic scaffold supercont1.8, whole genome shotgun sequence.